GACGAACGCUGGCGGCGUGCUUAACACAUGCAAGUCGAACGGAAAGGCCCUGCUUUUGUGGGGUGCUCGAGUGGCGAACGGGUGAGUAACACGUGAGUAACCUGCCCUUGACUUUGGGAUAACUUCAGGAAACUGGGGCUAAUACCGGAUAGGAGCUCCUGCUUCAUGGUGGGGGUUGGAAAGUUUCGGCGGUUGGGGAUGGACUCGCGGCUUAUCAGCUUGUUGGUGGGGUAGUGGCUUACCAAGGCUUUGACGGGUAGCCGGCCUGAGAGGGUGACCGGCCACAUUGGGACUGAGAUACGGCCCAGACUCAUACGGGAGGCAGAAGUGGGGAAUAUUGCACAAUGGGCGGAAGCCUGAUGCAGCAACGCCGCGUGCGGGAUGACGGCCUUCGGGUUGUAAACCGCUUUCGCCUGUGACGAAGCGUGAGUGACGGUAAUGGGUAAAGAAGCACCGGCUAACUACGUG
rnacentral:rRNA from 1 species